CAGAGUUUUUCAGAGGAGCCUGAAGGGAAUAGUCCACCUGAAUUUGAACUCCUGGCAAACAAAUUCUUGAAGCUCUGUUUCAUCAAUGAGGUGUCACACAGAAACUCACUGUGGGAAUUCUUAACAAUAUCUUUAAAGGAUUCUAUGAGUCUCAGACUCUUAUUUUCUGCUCCAUGGUGUGUGGAUUAGAACAACAAUAACAAUAAUAUGAAGUAUCAGCAGACCUUGGGAGCACCAGAGCAGUGUUAAGUGAAAAAGUCAAAACAUUGCUAUCUAAUGUUCUAGUGUUGAUGAUGAUGAGUUAAAGGAAAGUGUGAGUAUCAAAGGAGUCUUGUCAACACAAGGAUCCAGAGAAUGGGUCGCCUAUGAGGCCCUCCGUUAAGGGUGGUUGUUGCAGUACCAGGUCAAGGACAAUGCAGCUGCUGAUGCCCCUUAACGAUCACACAUGGGACAAUGGGUUCUUUCUCCCCAGUAGGGCUGCUAUCGAAAAGGCCAUUUGCAGAUGUCUGAGAACCCAGCGGGGUUGGGGGGAAGGCAGC